GGGUGAGAGAGCGCUUUUUUGUUGUUGUUGUUGUGCUAAGCUAAAAGGCAGAAUGCUACAGGCAUGAUUCCCUAAAGAAUGUAGCCUCAUGGGCAGUGUAGUCCGUGCUGCAGCGAGAAUGGGCUGCCAUACUCGUUAUGUGUCUGUGAGCGAGGGAGGGAGAGAAAGGAAAAGUCCGAGCUGUCACGGAGCAAAAACGGGAGCUGGAAGCAUGUAAAUAUAAUAAUAACCACUGCAGCCAAGAAGAGUGCCUGACGAGCCCAGCUGCUGUCGGAGUGAAUGAGGCCCAGAGGAGCUCUAUCAAUUAGCAGCUUGUGUUCAGCACUCUGCAGCAAUCCUGCUAUGACAGGAGUGAUCAAUCUACAGUCCACACACACUGUCCCGCACAACAGAAACAGCCAGCAGUCAGUGAAAAGCAGACAUUGCUGGAAACAUACCGAGCCACCAGUGAUUGGGCUCCAACACCUUACUGGUCGAACUGCUAACUGUUUUAGAGCUGCUGUGGAUUUCUAAAUUGUGACAAAGCUCAAAACACAGACGGAGGAACAAAACAGCAACACAUCUGCUCAGACUGCCGGACUUCCUGUAUGAACUCUGAAACUCCAGUGAAAAGUCAAGCUUAUUUUCUCCAAAGCUCAGGUGGAACGUGGUAGAGUGAACAUGCAGACUGAAAGCUGUGUUCACAGACACAGCAUCUCACUCAAUGUUUGCGCUUCCCCUACCCUCCUGUAUCACUUAGCAGUCUCAUUAUCUUAUUUGUUGCGAUUUAGAGUCUGUCUCCGCAGGGAGAGGUUUUUACACUGGAUGUGACUGUGACCUCAUUUUCAGAGGCUACUCUAACUUUUGGUAGGGGAGAAAGGC
ensembl:lncRNA